UACGGGGGGGGCAAGCGUUGUUCGGAAUUACUGGGCGUAAAGGGCUCGUAGGCGGCCAACUAAGUCAAACGUGAAAUCCCUCGGCUUAACCGGGGAACUGCGUCUGAUACUGGAUGGCUUGAGAUUGGGAGAGGGAUGCGGAAUUCCAGGUGUAGCGGUGAAAUGCGUAGAUAUCUGGAGGAACACCGGUGGCGAAGGCGCCCACCUGGCCUGCUACUGACGCUGAAGCUCGAAAGCUAGGGGAGCAAACGGG
rnacentral:rRNA from 1 species